CAGCUUGUGUUCCAGUCUCCAGCCACCAUCAGAGGGGAGUGUGGGAGGGGAGCAUGGGAGGUGAACAGAGUGACAAGGACAGACAUCAUGAAAAGCUUUUCUUUGAAACCACAUAUCUCAGAAUCUGGACCAAGAGGCAAAUGAGUUAUCAGAUAUCUUAAAUUAUACAUCUCUACACACACUGCAAGUGUCCUCCAGCGAGGCAAAGAUCAUCCCUGCCUGAGGUCCCUGGGCCAGAAAGAAUGGGAUCAGCUCAUUAUUCUCCAGUACUCUCUGCCUGGUGUUCCAUGGGACUGGGAACAUGCAAGUCAGUAAGCAACUGCAGAAGUGAAGCAAGAGAGAGUCAGACUUAGCUCCUCUGGAAGUGAGCUUUGGUGCUGCAGAGUGGACCACUGAGAUCACAAGAAAUGCUGAAGUUUUGGUUGAUAAAGGAGAAACACAUAAAUCUGUGGUGAUACUGUGCAUGCUACAUAAUAAACAUAAUAAACAUGAAAUAAAGACUUUAUGGUACAA